rnacentral:rRNA from 1 species
AGUAAAAGUCGUAACAAGGUUUCCGUAGGUGAACCUGCGGAAGGAUCAUUACUGAAUUGUCAAACGGGUUGUUGCUGGCCCUCAUAGGGGGCAUGUGCACGCUCUGUUUACACAUCCACUCACACCUGUGCACCCUCUGUAGUUCUAUGGUCUGGGGGACCCUGUCUUCCUUCUGUGGUUCUACGUCUUUACACACACACUGUAAUAAAGUUUUAUGGAAUGUACAUCGCGUCUAACGCAAUACAAUACAACUUUCAGCAACGGAUCUCUUGGCUCUCGCAUCGAUGAAGAACGCAGCGAAAUGCGAUAAGUAAUGUGAAUUGCAGAAUUCAGUGAAUCAUCGAAUCUUUGAACGCACCUUGCGCCCCUUGGCUAUUCCGAGGGGCAUGCCUGUUUGAGUAUCAUGAACACCUCAACUCUCAUGGUUUGCCAUGAUGAGUUGGACUCUGGGGGUUUUGCUGGCCUGUGGUCGGCUCCUCUCAAAUUAAUCAGCCUCCCAGUGUUUGGUGGCAUCACGGGUGUGAUAAAUAUCUACGCUCGCUGUUGUCUGCCAGGUAACCUUUGGUCACAAAGGUUUGCUGGAGCUCACAGAUGUCUCUCCUCAGCGAGGACAGCUUUUUUAACGUUCGAUCGC